rnacentral:rRNA from 1 species
CACGUAGGGCGCAAGCGUUGUCCGGAUUUACUGGGCGUAAAGAGCGCGCAGGCGGUCGUUCAAGUCGCGUGUGAAAGCCCCCGGCUCAACUGGGGAGGGUCACGCGAUACUGAUCGACUCGAAGGCAGGAGAGGGAAGUGGAAUUCCCGGUGUAGUGGAGAAAUGCGUAGAUAUCAGGAGGAACACCGGUGGCGAAGGCGGGUCUCUGGGCAGUAACUGACGCUGAGGAGCGAAAGCGUGGGGAGCGAACAGG